rnacentral:rRNA from 1 species
CUGCGGAGGGAUCAUUACACAAAUAUGAAGGCGGGCUGGAACCUCUCGGGGUUACAGCCUUGCUGAAUUAUUCACCCUUGUCUUUUGCGUACUUCUUGUUUCCUUGGUGGGUUCGCCCACCACUAGGACAAACAUAAACCUUUUGUAAUUGCAAUCAGCGUCAGUAACAAAUUAAUAAUUACAACUUUCAACAACGGAUCUCUUGGUUCUGGCAUCGAUGAAGAACGCAGCGAAAUGCGAUAAGUAGUGUGAAUUGCAGAAUUCAGUGAAUCAUCGAAUCUUUGAACGCACAUUGCGCCCUUUGGUAUUCCAAAGGGCAUGCCUGUUCGAGCGUCAUUUGUACCCUCAAGCUUUGCUUGGUGUUGGGCGUCUUGUCUCUAGCUUUGCUGGAGACUCGCCUUAAAGUAAUUGGCAGCCGGCCUACUGGUUUCGGAGCGCAGCACAAGUCGCACUCUCUAUCAGCAAAGGUCUAGCAUCCAUUAAGCCUUUUUUUCAACUUUUGACCUCGGAUCAGGUAGGGAUACCCGCUGAACUUAAGCAUAUCAAUAAGCGGAGGAAAAGAAACCAACAGGGAUUGCCCUAGUAACGGCGAGUGAAGCGGCAACAGCUCAAAUUUGAAAUCUGGCUCUUU